GACGAACGCUGGCGGCGUGCUUAACACAUGCAAGUCGAGCGGUAAGGCCCUUUCGGGGGUACACGAGCGGCGAACGGGUGAGUAACACGUGGGUGACCUGCCCUCAGCUCUGGGAUAAGCCUGGGAAACCGGGUCUAAUACUGGAUAUGACUCCAUGACGCAUGUUGUGGGGUGGAAAGCCUUGUGCGGCUGAGGAUGGGCCCGCGGCCUAUCAGCUUGUUGGUGGGGUGANGGCCUACCAAGGCGACGACGGGUAGCCGGCCUGAGAGGGCGACCGGCCACACUGGGACUGAGACACGGGCCCAGACUCCUACGGGAGGC
rnacentral:rRNA from 1 species